rnacentral:misc_RNA from 1 species
GAAAUGCGAUAAGUAAUGUGAAUUGCAGAAUUCAGUGAAUCAUCGAAUCUUUGAACGCACCUUGCGCUCCUUGGUAUUCCUUGGAGCAUGCCUGUUUGAGUAUCAUGAAAUCUUCAAAGUAAAUCUUUUGUUAACUCAAUUGGUUUCUACUUUGGUAUUGGAGGUCUUUGCAGCUUCACACCUGCUCCUCUUUGUUCAUUAGCUGGAUCUCAGCGUUAUGCUUGGUUCCACUCGGCGUGAUAAGUUAUCUAUCGCUGAGGACACUGUAAAAGGUGGCCAAGGUAUAUGCAGAUGAACCGCUUCUAAUAGUCCAUUGACUUGGACAAUACUUUUAUGAUCUGAUCUCAAAUCAGGUAGGACUACCCGCUGAACUUAAGC